CCUAAUCAUGCAAGUCGAGCGAAUGGAUUAAGAGCUUGCUCUUAUGAAGUUAGCGGCGGACGGGUGAGUAACACGUGGGUAACCUGCCCAUAAGACUGGGAUAACUCCGGGAAACCGGGGCUAAUACCGGAUAACAUUUUGAACCGCAUGGUUCGAAAUUGAAAGGCGGCUUCGGCUGUCACUUAUGGAUGGACCCGCGUCGCAUUAGCUAGUUGGUGAGGUAACGGCUCACCAAGGCAACGAUGCGUAGCCGACCUGAGAGGGUGAUCGGCCACACUGGGACUGAGACACGGCCCAGACUCCUACGGGAGGCAGCAGUAGGGAAUCUUCCGCAAUGGACGAAAGUCUGACGGAGCAACGCCGCGUGAGUGAUGAAGGCUUUCGGGUCGUAAAACUCUGUUGUUAGGGAAGAACAAGUGCUAGUUGAAUAAGCUGGCACCUUGACGGUACCUAACCAGAAAGCCACGGCUAACUACGUGCCAGCAGCCGCGGUAAUACGUAGGUGGCAAGCGUUAUCCGGAAUUAUUGGGCGUAAAGCGCGCGCAGGUGGUUUCUUAAGUCUGAUGUGAAAGCCCACGGCUCAACCGUGGAGGGUCAUUGGAAACUGGGAGACUUGAGUGCAGAAGAGGAAAGUGGAAUUCCAUGUGUAGCGGUGAAAUGCGUAGAGAUAUGGAGGAACACCAGUGGCGAAGGCGACUUUCUGGUCUGUAACUGACACUGAGGCGCGAAAGCGUGGGGAGCAAACAGGAUUAGAUACCCUGGUAGUCCACGCCGUAAACGAUGAGUGCUAAGUGUUAGAGGGUUUCCGCCCUUUUAGUGCUGAAGUUAACGCAUUAAGCACUCCCGCCUGGGGAGUACGGCCGCAAGGCUGAAACUCAAAGGAAUUGACGGGGGCCCGCACAAGCGGUGGAGCAUGUGGUUUAAUUUCGAAGCAACCGCGAAGAACCUUACCAGGUCUUGAACAUCCUCUGAAAAACCCCUAGAGAUAAGGGCUUCUCCUUCGGGAGCAGAGUGACAAGGUGGUGCCAAUGACUGUUCGUCAGUCUCGUGUCGUGGAAUGUUGGCUUAAGUCCCGCACCGAGCGCAACCCUGAUCCUUAGUGCCAUCAUAGUGGCACUUCUAAGUGAACUGUCGGUGCACAAACCCGGUAGGAAGC
rnacentral:rRNA from 2 species